rnacentral:rRNA from 1 species
AAACUGCGAAUGGCUCAUUAAAUCAGUUAUCGUUUAUUUGAUAGUACCUUACUACUUGGAUAACCGUGGUAAUUCUAGAGCUAAUACAUGCUAAAAACCCCAACUUCGGGAGGGGUGUAUUUAUUAGAUAAAAAACCAAUGCCCUUCGGGGCUCCUUGGUGAUUCAUGAUAACUUCUCAGAUCGCAUGGCUUUACGCCGGCGACGGUUCAUUCAAAUUUCUGCCCUAUCAACUUUCGAUGGUAAGGUAUUGGCUUACCAUGGUUUCAACGGGUAACGGGGAAUUAGGGUUCGAUUCCGGAGAGGGAGCCUGAGAAACGGCUACCACAUCCAAGGAAGGCAGCAGGCGCGCAAAUUACCCAAUUCCGAUACGGAGAGGUAGUGACAAUAAAUACUGAUACAGGGCUCUUUUGGGUCUUGUAAUUGGAAUGAGUACAAUUUAAACCUCUUAACGAGGAACAAUUGGAGGGCAAGUCUGGUGCCAGCAGCCGCGGUAAUUCCAGCUCCAAUAGCGUAUAUUAAAGUUGUUGCAGUUAAAAAGCUCGUAGUUGAACCUUUGGCCUGGCUGGCAGGUCCGCCUCACCGCGUGCACUUGUCCGGCCGGGCCUUUUCUUCUGGAGAACCGCAUGCCCUUCACUGGGUGUGUUGGGGACCAGGACUUUUACUUUGAAAAAAUUAGAGUGUUCAAAGCAGGCCUUUGCUCGAAUACGUUAGCAUGGAAUAAUAAAAUAGGACGUGCGGUCCUAUUUUGUUGGUUUCUAGGACCGCCGUAAUGAUUAAUAGGGACAGUCGGGGGCAUCAGUAUUCAAUUGUCAGAGGUGAAAUUCUUGGAUUUAUUGAAGACUAACUACUGCGAAAGCAUUUGCCAAGGAUGUUUUCAUUAAUCAGUGAACGAAAGUUAGGGGAUCGAAGACGAUCAGAUACCGUCGUAGUCUUAACCAUAAACUAUGCCGACUAGGGAUCGGGCGGUGUUUCUAUUGUGACCCGCUCGGCACC